rnacentral:rRNA from 1 species
AUUGAACGCUGGCGGCAGGCCUAACACAUGCAAGUCGAGCGGAUGAAGGGAGCUUGCUCCUGGAUUCAGCGGCGGACGGGUGAGUAAUGCCUAGGAAUCUGCCUGGUAGUGGGGGAUAACGUCCGGAAACGGGCGCUAAUACCGCAUACGUCCUGAGGUAGAAAGUGGGGGAUCUUCGGACCUCACGCUAUCAGAUGAGCCUAGGUCGGAUUAGCUAGCUGGUGGGGUAAAGGCCUACCAAGGCGACGUUCCGUAACUGGGCUGAGAGGAUGAUCAGUCACACUGGAACUGAGACACGGUCCAGACUCCUACGGGAGGCAGCAGUGGGGAAUAUUGGACAAUGGGCGAAAGCCUGAUCCAGCCAUGCCGCGUGUGUGAAGAAGGUCUUCGGAUUGUAAAGCACUUUAAGUUGGGAGGAAGGGCAGUAAGUUAAUACCUUGCUGUUUUGACGUUACCAACAGAAUAAGCACCGGCUAACUUCGUG